rnacentral:rRNA from 1 species
GUGUGUGAAGAAGGNCUUCGGGUUGUAAAGCACUUUCAGUCAGGAGGAAAGGGUGUGAGUUAAUACCUCAUAUCUGUGACGUUACUGACAGAAGAAGCACCGGCUAACUCCGUGCCAGCAGCCGCGGUAAUACGGAGGGUGCGAGCGUUAAUCGGAAUUACUGGGCGUAAAGCGUACGCAGGCGGUUUGUUAAGCGAGAUGUGAAAGCCCCGGGCUCAACCUGGGAACUGCAUUUCGAACUGGCAAACUAGAGUGUGAUAGAGGGUGGUAGAAUUUCAGGUGUAGCGGUGAAAUGCGUAGAGAUCUGAAGGAAUACCGAUGGCGAAGGCAGCCACCUGGGUCAACACUGACGCUCAUGUACGAAAGCGNGGGGNGCAAA